GAUGAACGCUGGCGGCGUGCCUAAUACAUGCAAGUCGAGCGAACAGACGAGGAGCUUGCUCCUCUGACGUUAGCGGCGGACGGGUGAGUAACACGUGGAUAACCUACCUAUAAGACUGGGAUAACUUCGGGAAACCGGAGCUAAUACCGGAUAACAUGUUGAACCGCAUGGUUCAACAGUGAAAGACGGUCUUGCUGUCACUUAUAGAUGGAUCCGCGCCGCAUUAGCUAGUUGGUAAGGUAACGGCUUACCAAGGCAACGAUGCGUAGCCGACCUGAGAGGGUGAUCGGCCACACUGGAACUGAGACACGGUCCAGACUCCUACGGGAGGCAGCAGUAGGGAAUCUUCCGCAAUGGGCGAAAGCCUGACGGAGCAACGCCGCGUGAGUGAAGAAGGUCUUCGGAUCGUAAAACUCUGUUAUUAGGGAAGAACAAAUGUGUAAGUAACUAUGCACGUCUUGACGGUACCUAAUCAGAAAGCCACGGCUAACUCCGUG
rnacentral:rRNA from 1 species